rnacentral:rRNA from 1 species
GACGAACGCUGGCGGCGCGCUUAACACAUGCAAGUCGAACGGAAAGGCCUGCUUUCCCUUGUGGAUUGCGGGUACUCGAGUGGCGAACGGGUGAGUAACACGUGAGUGAUCUGCCCCCAACUUGGGUAUAAGCCUGGGAAACUGGGUCUAAUUCCCGAUAGGACUGCAGGGUGGUGCCUGUGGUGGAAAACGAUUUUCUAGUUGUUGGGGAUGAGCUCGCGGCCUAUCAGCUUGUUGGUGGGGUAAUGGCCUACCAAGGCGGCGACGGGUAGCCGGCCUGAGAGGGUGGACGGCCACAUUGGGACUGAGAUACGGCCCAGACUCCUACGGGAGGCAGCAGUGGGGAAUAGUGCACAAUGGGCGGAAGCCUGAUGCAGCGACGCCGCGUGGGGGAUGACGGCCUUCGGGUUGUAAACUCCUUUCGACCGCGAGGAAGCCACCUGGUUGGAAGGGUGGUGACGGUAGUGGUAGAAGAAGCACCGGCUAACUACGUG